GACGAACGCUGGCGGCGUGCUUAACACAUGCAAGUCGAACGGAAAGGCCCUGCUUUUGUGGGGUGCUCGAGUGGCGAACGGGUGAGUAACACGUGAGUAACCUGCCCUUGACUUUGGGAUAACUUCAGGAAACUGGGGCUAAUACCGGAUAGGAGCUCCUGCUGCAUGGUGGGGGUUGGAAAGUUUCGGCGGUUGGGGAUGGACUCGCGGCUUAUCAGCUUGUUGGUGGGGUAGUGGCUUACCAAGGCUUUGACGGGUAGCCGGCCUGAGAGGGUGACCGGCCACAUUGGGACUGAGAUACGGCCCAGACUCCUACGGGAGGCAGCAGUGGGGAAUAUUGCACAAUGGGCGGAAGCCUGAUGCAGCAACGCCGCGUGCGGGAUGACGGCCUUCGGGUUGUAAACCGCUUUCGCCUGUGACGAAGCGUGAGUGACGGUAA
rnacentral:rRNA from 3 species